rnacentral:rRNA from 1 species
AGCAGCCGCGGUAAUUCCAGCUCCAAUAGCGUAUAUUAAAGUUGUUGCAGUUAAAAAGCUCGUAGUUGAAUUUCGGGGUUAGUAGGUUGGUCAUGCCUCUGGUAUGUACUGGUCUCACUGAUUCCUCCUUCCUGAUGAACCUUAAUGCCAUUAAUUUGGUGUUUUGGGGAAUUUGGACUGUUACUUUGAAAAAAUUAGAGUGUUUAAAGCAAGCUAACGCUUGAAUACAUUAGCAUGGAAUAAUGAAAUAGGACGUUUGACCCUAUUUUGUUGGUUUCUAGGAUCGACGUAAUGAUUAAUAGGGAUAGUUGGGGGCAUUAGUAUUCAAUUGUCAGAGGUGAAAUUCUUGGAUUUAUUGAAGACUAACUACUGCGAAAGCAUUUGCCAAGGAUGUUUUCAUUAAUCAAGAACGAAAGUUAGGGGAUCGAAGACGAUCAGAUACCGUCGUAGUCUUAACCAUAAACUAUGCCGACUAGGGAUCGGAUGAUGUUAAUUUUUUAAUGACUCAUUCGGCGCCUUA